GACACUGUAGCCAAGUGGUUACGGCGACAGAUUCGAAAUCUGUUCCUCUUUGAGGGCGUAGGUUCAAAUCCUGCCAGUGUCG
rnacentral:tRNA from 1 species